rnacentral:rRNA from 1 species
UCAAGCAAAAAAGAGCGCAGGGUGGAUGCCUUGGCACUAAGAGCCGAAGAAAGACGUGAUAAGCUGCGAAAAGCUGCGGGGAGAUGCAAAUAAUCUUUGAUCCGCAGAUGUCUGAAUGGGGAAACCCGGCUGGAAGGACUCCAGUCAUCCAUACGCCAAUCCAUAACGUAUGGAAGGGAACCCGGUGAACUGAAACAUCUAAGUAGCCGGAGGAAGAGAAAGAAACAUCGAUUCCGGAAGUAGCGGCGAGCGAACCCGGAAGAGCCCAAACCAGCGUGCGUGCAUGCUGGGGUUAAGGACUGCAUAAGUGAGCCGAUCUGUUAAUGGAACUGCCUGGGAAGGCAGGCCAGAGAGGGUGAAAGCCCCGUACAUGAAAACAGCAGGCAGCGGCAGGAUCCAGAGUACCGCGAGACACGAGAAACCUUGCGGGAAGUCGGAGGGACCACCCUCCAAGGCUAAAUACUCCUUAGUGACCGAUAGCGCAUAGUACUGUGAAGGAAAGGUGAAAAGGACCCCGGGAGGGGAGUGAAAGAGAACCUGAAACCCUGUGUUUACAAGCUGUGGGAGCACGUUAAGGUGCAACCGCGUACUUUUUGUAGAACGGUCCGGCGAGUUGCCGGUGCUGGCAAGGUUAAAUGGUACAGCCAUGGAGCCGAAGGGAAACCAAGUCUCAAAUGGGCGUAAAGUCAGCACAGGCAGACCCGAAACCGGGUGACCUAUCCAUGUCCAGGAUGAAGCGGAAGUAAAAUUCCGUGGAGGUCCGGAUCCACAUCCGUUGAAAAGGGUGGGAAUGAGGUGUGGAUAGGGGAGAAAUUCCAAUCGAACCCGGAGAUAGCUGGUUCUCCUCGAAAUAGCUUUAGGGCUAGCCCCGUAUUAGUUUAGCGGAGGUAGAGCACUGAAUUCCUAAGGGGGCGUCAAAGCUUACCAAGGGAUAUCAAACUCCGAAUGCCGCAUAAAUGAUGUACGGGAGUCAGACUGCACGAGAUAAGUUGGGCAGUCAAAAGGGAAAGAGCCCAGACCUACAGCUAAGGUCCCAAAGUGUGUGUUAAGUGGAAAAGGAUGUGGGAUUUCAGAGACAACUAGGAUGUUGGCUUAGAAGCAGCCACACAUUCAAAGAGUGCGUAAUAGCUCACUAGUCGAGAGGUCCUGCGCCGAAAAUGUCCGGGGCUAAAACACAACACCGAAGCUUAGGAAUGUAGAAAUACAUUGGUAGAGGAGCAUUCUUAAAGGAAUGAAGCAGUACCGAUAAGGAGCUGUGGACUUUUAAGAAGAGAGAAUGCCGGAAUGAGUAGCGAGAUGGAGGUGGGAAUCCUCCAGGCCGAAUAUCCAAGGUUUCCAGAGUAAAGCUGAUCUGCUCUGGGUAAGUCGGGGCCUAAGGUAAGGCUGAGAAGCGUAGCCGAUGGACAACAGGUUGAGAUUCCUGUACCGCGUAUCAUCAGAACUGUGGGGACACAGAAGGACAGCACAUCCCGGGAAUGGAAAGACCGGGGCAAGCAGGGUAGGAGUUAAGCUGGCAAAUCCGCUUAACAAUCCGAAGCUGUGAUGCGGAGCGAAUUUAAGUAGCGAAGUGUGCGAUUCCAGCUGUCAAGAAAAGCCGCUAUUGUGUGAUACGUGCCCGUACCGUAAACCGACACAGGUAGAUGAGGAGAGAAUCCUAAGGCCGGCGGGAGAAGCAUUGUUAAGGAACUCGGCAAAAUGACCCUGUAACUUCGGGAGAAAGGGUGCCUGGGAAACCAGGCCGCAGAGAAUAGGCUCAAGCAACUGUUUAGCAAAAACACAGGUCUAUGCAAAACCGUAAGGUGAGGUAUAUGGGCUGACGCCUGCCCGGUGCUGGAAGGUUAAGAGGAGAGGUUAGAGCAAUCGAAGCUUUGAAUUGAAGCCCCAGUAAACGGCGGCCGUAACUAUAACGGUCCUAAGGUAGCGAAAUUCCUUGUCGGGUAAGUUC